rnacentral:rRNA from 1 species
AGAGUUUGAUCCUGGCUCAGAAUAAACGCUGGCGGCGUGCUUAACACAUGCAAGUCAGAGCGAGAAAGGUCUUCGGACUGAGUAAAGCGGCAAACGGGUGAGUAACACGUAGGAAUCUGCCUUUCAGUGAGGAAUACCCUCGAGAAAUCGAGGUUAAUACUGCAUACGUCUUGAAAAAGAGAAAGAUGGCCUCUCUGCUGUCGCUGAAAGAUGAGCCUGCGUACUAUUAGCUAGUUGGUAGGGUAAAAGCCUACCAAGGCGAUGAUGGUUAGCCGGCCUGAGAGGGUGUACGGCCACACUGGAACUUAGACACGGUCCAGACUCCUAUGGGAGGCAGCAGCGAGGAAUAUUGCGCAAUGGGCGAAAGCCUGACGCAGCGACGCCGCGUGGAGGAUGAAGGUCUUCGGAUCGUAAACUUCUGUUAAGUGGGAAGAAAGGCGAAGCUCUAAUACAGCUUUGAUAUGACGGUACCACUAGAGAAAGCACCGGCUAACUUCGUGCCAGCAGCCGCGGUAAUACGAAGGGUGCGAGCGUUAUUCGGAUUUAUUGGGCGUAAAGGGUGCGCAGGCGGUAUGUUAAGUCAACUGUUAAAUCCCCCAGCCUAACUGGGGAUCGGCGGUAGAUACUGGCGUACUAGAGGGUGGAAGAGGGAAGUGGAAUUCUUGGAGUAGCGGUAAAAUGCGUAGAUCUCAAGAGGAACACCGAUGGCGAAGGCAGCUUCUUGGUCCACAUCUGACGCUCAUGCACGAAAGCGUGGGGAGCAAACAGGAUUAGAUACCCUGGUAGUCCACGCUGUAAACGAUGAUCACUAGACGUUAGUUCUGCU